UACGGAGGAUGCGAGCGUUAUCCGGAUUUAUUGGGUUUAAAGGGUGCGUAGGCGGAUCGUUAAGUCAGUGGUCAAAUUGAGGGGCUCAACCCCUUCCCGCCAUUGAAACUGGCGAUCUUGAGUGGAAGAGAAGUAUGCGGAAUGCGUGGUGUAGCGGUGAAAUGUAUAGAUAUCACGCAGAACCCCGAUUGCGAAGGCAGCAUGCCGGCUUCCUACUGACGCUGAAGCACGAAAGCGUGGGGAUCGAACAGG
rnacentral:rRNA from 1 species